AAAAAAUGACCCUGGGGUUCGAUUAGUGCAAAUAAAUAUGUUUCUGUGUGGUUGCUAGAAGUGACUUGCAUAUUCAUAGGAUUAUCUCCAAAUAAACUAUUGAUUUAAGUAAUUCAAACAUAUUAAGAACAAAAACUCAGUUUAGUGAACAAUUUCAGUUCUAGAACAUGAAUAUUGAUGUUCAAUGCUUGUUUGGAAUAGAUGACUGCCUGUCUCUCAAAGCAUCAUCUAUAAAUAGUAGGUCUGCAAUCUGACUUUUAGUAAAGGUUAUAUAGCAGAUACCCCAGGAUUGCAUUUUUCUGGGAAGAACAUGGCAUCCGGAGAUCCUGUAUAGUCUAUAAAAGGGUUAUCUUUAUGCUUUCAUAAUCAGAUGAGAAGGGUUGAUUUAAAGUGUUCCUAAAAUACUGCAGAGAGCUAAUGAAGUUAUUUGACUGCACAGAUAGUGUUUCCCUUCCUUGUGGAGGAGGUUUAAGGUACAGGUAUAGACAGAAUCACAUGUAAAGUGUUAUGAUAGCAUAGUGAAAUGAUAGCUCCUAAAAUAUUCUACUACAGCAUUUAUUUGAAGUGUAAUCUGAGAUUUCCACUGUACUAAGUUACAAGGGUUACAAGGCUGCUUUUUUUUAGUAUCUGAUUCAUUUGGAUGGAGGACUGAGUGUGAAUACUCUACAUGGUUAUGGGCUUCUAUUUUCCCACUUUAUAUUGAAUGGAUAUGAAGACUUUAAAAUAAGAUUUUCUGUCUGCACAGAGGAUCCGUUGCUACUACUUAGAAGCCUAAUAAAUCCCAGAGAUGCAAAUAAUGAUCACUUAAUGAGGGUUUCUGGAGUUCCUAUCACCUUUAUGACCCUAAUACCCUAUUAAAAGUUGAAGAUCUUGAUUGCAUUUGAUUGCAUGUUGGUAUCUUCAGCUGUCAAAAAGCCAGAACGGAACAUCAGAAGGAAGAUUGAAUGGAUUUCCUUUCAUUACCUCUGCAAGGGACUAAUUUUUUUUUUAUUUAUAUGACUAUUCUAACUAUGGCAGAAUUUUAUGAUAAGGAAAAAUAAAUUGUACCCUAAGGUAAUAUUCCUAUUUUGA
rnacentral:lncRNA from 1 species